AGGACGACGCUGGCGGCGUGCCUAAUACAUGCAAGUCGAACGGUCUUUUCUAUGGAAGCUUGCUUCCACUGAGAAGAUAGUGGCGAACGGGUGAGUAACACGUGGGUAACCUGCCCAUAAGAGGGGGAUAACAUCCGGAAACGGGUGCUAAUACCGCAUAGUUUUCUUGAUCGCAUGAUCGGGAAAGGAAAGACGGCCUUUGUGCUGUCGCUUAUGGAUGGACCCGCGGCGUAUUAGUUAGUUGGUGAGGUAACGGCUCACCAAGACGAUGAUACGUAGCCGACCUGAGAGGGUGAUCGGCCACAUUGGGACUGAGACACGGCCCAAACUCCUACGGGAGGCAGCAGUAGGGAAUCUUCCGCAAUGGACGAAAGUCUGACGGAGCAACGCCGCGUGAGUGAAGAAAAGGUUUUCGGAUCGUAAAACUCUGUUGUCAGAGAAGAACAAGUUGGAGAGUAACUGCUCCAGCCUUGACGGUAUCUGACCAGAAAGCCACGGCUAACUACGUGCCAGCAGCCGC
rnacentral:rRNA from 1 species